AGUCGAGCGAUGACAGGGAGCUUGCUCCCUUGAUUUAGCGGCGGACGGGUGAGUAACACGUGGGCAACCUGCCCUGUAGACUGGGAUAACUUCGGGAAACCGGAGCUAAUACCGGAUAAUCCAUUUCCCCUCAUGGGGAAAUGUUGAAAGGCGCUUUCGCGUCACUACAGGAUGGGCCCGCGGUGCAUUAGCUAGUUGGUGGGGUAACGGCCUACCAAGGCGACGAUGCAUAGCCGACCUGAGAGGGUGAUCGGCCACAUUGGGACUGAGACACGGCCCAAACUCCUACGGGAGGCAGCAGUAGGGAAUCUUCCACAAUGGACGAAAGUCUGAUGGAGCAACGCCGCGUGAGUGAUGAAGGUUUUCGGAUCGUAAAACUCUGUUGUAAGGGAAGAACAAGUACGUUAGGAAAUGAACGUACCUUGACGGUACCUUAUUAGAAAGCCACGGCUAACUACGUGCCAGCAGCCGCGGUAAUACGUAGGUGGCAAGCGUUGUCCGGAUUUAUUGGGCGUAAAGCGCGCGCAGGCGGUUUCUUAAGUCUGAUGUGAAAGCCCACGGCUUAACCGUGGAGGGUCAUUGGAAACUGGGAGACUUGAGUGCAGAAGAGGAAAGUGGAAUUCCAAGUGUAGCGGUGAAAUGCGUAGAGAUUUGGAGGAACACCAGUGGCGAAGGCGACUUUCUGGUCUGUAACUGACGCUGAGGCGCGAAAGCAUGGGGAGCAAACAGGAUUAGAUACCCUGGUAGUCCAUGCC
rnacentral:rRNA from 1 species